rnacentral:rRNA from 1 species
GGAGUGGAGGUCCGAACCGAUAAGCGUUGAAAAGCUUCCGGAUGAGCUGUGGGUAGGGGUGAAAGGCUAAUCAAACUGGGAAAUAGCUCGUACUCCCCGAAAUGCCUUUAGGGGCAGCGUAGAGGUAAAGUUUUAUAGAGGUAGAGCUACUGAUUGGAUGCGGGGGAAGCGAUUCCUACCAAGUCCUGACAAACUCCGAAUGCUAUAAAAUAUACUCUGCAGUGAGCCGGCGGGUGCUAAGGUCCGUCGACGAAAGAGAGAGAACUCAGACCAACAGCUAAGGUCCCCAAAUCUAUACUAAGUUGAUAUAACGUGGUGCGACUGCAUUGACAGCCAGGAUGUUUGCUUGGAAGCAGCCAUUCAUUUAAAGAGUGCGUAACAGCUCACUGGUCGAGCGGUCGUGCGUGGAUGAUACUCGGGCAUCAAGUAUAGUACCGAAGCUUCGGACUUAAAUUUAUUUAAGUGGUAGGGGAGCAUUCUAACUGCGUAGAAGAAGUUGCGUGAGCGCUAUUGGAGCGGUUAGAGAAGCAAAUGUAGGCAUAAGUAACGAUAAAGCAGGCGAGAAACCUGUUCGCCGAUAGACUAGGGUUUCCUGAACAACGAUAAUCGGUUCAGGGUCAGUCGGGACCUAAGGUGAAGCCGAAGGGCGUAAUCGAUGGACAACAGGUUAAUAUUCCUGUACUUGUAUCACUGCGAUGGAGAGACGAAGACGCGUAAGGUCAGCGAACUGACGGAAUAGUUCGUUUAAGUGCGUAGGUUUAGGUUAUGUAGGCAAAUCCGCAUAGCUUCUGAAACACGAAAGUACCCAGAGUCGUCAGACAACGGGAUUGACCCCAAGCAUACUUCCAAGAAAAUCUUCUAAGCUUCAGGUGAAUACAACCCGUACCGCAAACCGACACAGGUAGUCAAGUAGAAUAUACUAAGGCGCUCGAGUGAUCCGCGGCUAAGGAACUAGGCAAAUUAACCCUGUAACUUCGGGAAAAAGGGUGCCCCCAGCAAUGGGGGCCGCAGAGAAAUGGCGGUGGCGACUGUUUAACAAAAACACAGGGCUUUGCAAAACUGAAAGGUGAAGUAUAAGGCCUGACACCUGCCCGGUGCCGGAAGGUUAAGAGGAGAGGUUAGCGUAAGCGAAGCUUUGAAUUGAAGCCCCGGUAAACGGCGGCCGUAACGAUAACGGUCCUAAGGUAGCGAAAUUCCUUGUCGGGUAAGUUCCGACCUGCACGAAUGGUGUAACGAUCUCCGCACUGUCUCAGCCGCGAGCUCGGUGAAAUUGUGGUAUCAGUGAAGACGCUGAUUACCCGCAACGGGACGGAAAGACCCCAUGCACCUUUACUAUAGUUUAACAUUGAUUUCGGGUAAGUGAUGUCU